rnacentral:SRP_RNA from 1 species
GCCAGGCGCAGUGGCGCACGCCUGUAGUCCCAGCUACUUGGGAGGCUGAGGUGGUAGGAUCGCUUGAGCCAAGGAGUUCUGGGCUGUAGUGCGCUAUGCCAAUCAGGUGUCAGCACUAAGUUCAGCAUCAAUAUGGUGACCUCCCUGGAGCAGGGGACCACCAGGUUGCCUGAGGAAGGGUGAACCUGCCCAGGUCGGAAACGGAGCAGGUCAAAACUCCCUUGCUGAUCAGUAGUGGGAUUGCGCCUGUGAAUAGCCACUGUGCUCCAGUCUGGGCAACAUAGCGAGACCCCAUCUCU